AGCAGCCGCGGUAAUUCCAGCUCCAAUAGCGUAUAUUAAAGUUGUUGCAGUUAAAAAGCUCGUAGUUGAAUUUCGGGGUUAGUAGGUUGGUCAUGCCUCUGGUAUGUACUGGUCUCACUGAUUCCUCCUUCCUGAUGAGCCGUAAUGCCAUUAAUUUGGUGUUGCGGGGAAUUUGGACUGUUACUUUGAAAAAAUUAGAGUGUUUAAAGCAAGCUAACGCUUGAAUACAUUAGCAUGGAAUAAUGAAAUAGGACGUUCGAUCCUAUUUUGUUGGUUUCUAGGAUUGACGUAAUGAUUAAUAGGGAUAGUUGGGGGCAUUAGUAUUCAAUUGUCAGAGGUGAAAUUCUUGGAUUUAUUGAAGACUAACUACUGCGAAAGCAUUUGCCAAGGAUGUUUUCAUUAAUCAAGAACGAAAGUUAGGGGAUCGAAGACGAUCAGAUACCGUCGUAGUCUUAACCAUAAACUAUGCCGACUAGGGAUCGGAUGAUGUUAAUUUUUUAAUGACUCA
rnacentral:rRNA from 4 species